UACAGAGGGUGCGAGCGUUUAAUCGGAAUUACUGGGCGUAAAGCGCGCGUAGGCGGCUUUUCAAGUCGAUUGUGAAAUCCCCGGGCUUAACCUGGGAACUGCAGUCGAGACUGUCUAGCUAGAGUAUGGGAGAGGGAAGUGGAAUUUCAGGUGUAGCGGUGAAAUGCGUAGAUAUCGAGAGGAACACCAGUGGCGAAGGCGAGUCCCUGGACAACACCUGACACUGAGGCACGAAAGCUAGGGGAGCAAACAGG
rnacentral:rRNA from 1 species